GCCCUUAGAGUUUGAUCCUGGCUCAGGACGAACGCUGGCGGCAGGCUUAACACAUGCAAGUCGCACGAGAACAGGCCUUCGGGCCUUAGGAAAGUGGCGGACGGGUGAGUAACACGUAGACAACCUGCCCCAAAGCGAGGGAUAACUAUCGGAAACGGUAGCUAAUACCGCAUGCAGUCUUUACCGGGCAUCCGGUUUAGAUGAAAGCCUUCGGGCGCUUUGGGAUGGGUCUGCGGAGGAUUAGUUUGUUGGUAGGGUAAAGGCCUACCAAGACUACGAUCCAUAGCUGGUCUGAGAGGACGAUCAGCCACACUGGGACUGAGACACGGCCCAGACUCCUACGGGAGGCAGCAGUGGGGAAUCUUGGGCAAUGGGCGAAAGCCUGACCCAGCCAUGCCGCGUGGAGGAAGACACCCCUAUGGGGCGUAAACUCCUUUUGUGCAGGAAGAAGGCCUCGGUCACCGAGGUUUGACGGUACUGCACGAAUAAGCACCGGCUAACUCCGUGCCAGCAGCCGCGGUAAUACGGAGGGUGCAAGCGUUGUCCGGAAUCACUGGGUGUAAAGGGUGUGUAGGCGGGAUUGUAAGUCAGAGGUGAAAUCUUGCGGCUCAACCGUAAAAUUGCCUUUGAUACUGCAGUUCUUGAGUCCCGGAGAGGUUGUUGGAAUUCGUGGUGUAGCG
rnacentral:rRNA from 1 species